UUUCUUUGCUGUUUUGUAAUUCUUUUAGCAUAUCCGAUAACUGACUUUCAGUACUAACCCAGAUAGGUUCUGUUUCGUCGACAGAGCCAGUAUCGAUGGGAUUAGACAUUUCUGAAACCCAUGGAGGAUAUACGCUAUUUUGUAUUUCUGGUUCAUAUGGAUGUGGUAACGAGUUUUUGAGACUAGGGUCCAAUUUGACUUGAGCGAUAAUCUUUUCGAGCGGUACUAACGAAUGUGGUUUUUCAGUUAACUUCCAAGACCACACAAACUCCCUGGAAUUAUUAGGCUGUACUCGAAACCUUAAUUGAGGCUUAGUAAGAUGAGCUGCGUGAAUAACCUUGUAGGGCAACUUUUCUUUCUUUGGUUUUUUAUUGGCAACAUCGCUUGUCGACGCAUGGGUUUCGAUCGCUGGCUUUUUUAAAAGUCCUUGAGCUUUAUCGAUAGAAUAGUCCUAUAUUCAUACGUCUUAGUUAAAUAAAAUCCGUUUACAAUUUCAAAAAUUCACUUACAGCUUUUUCAAAGAGUAUGUCUAAUGUGUCCGAUACUUCUGCCCAUCUAUUAUCUAUAUCUUCAACGUCCACAAUAUCCUCCGCCCGACUUCUGUCUACUUUAGAAAGAAGCAAUUCAAUUAAUCUCAUAAAACGAGAAGAAACACUUUUUAUGUUUUCAUUGAAUUCGGUAUCAAUUGAUUUAUAAAACGGUAUAUCAACCUUUGCCAAUUCAGAGCAAUAGGCUGUACUAUUCAUUAAACCCUUAAACAAUUCUGACUCAUCCAUUAUGCUAUUGUUUACCCUACUGGAUCAGUAAGGUUUUUGGUUUGGUUCAGGAAUUUUCAAGCACUUUUACCACACGCUCAACGAAUUACCGAACUUGAAUAUAGACAUCGUUAAAGUACGAAAUACAAGAGCUAUUUUUAUAUAUAUAAAAUAUUUUACACAAAUGCAAAAUCUUAGCAGAAUUAUGUAAAAGCAAUUAUUUAUGAUUAGUUCAAAAUUGUGAAACUAUUAGCAGGCAACUAUAGAGAGGUCUUUUAUAAUAUAGGCAUUCAAUUUUGAUCAAAAAGUAAAAAAAUAAUCAAAGUAGAUGAAUUACAAAUUUAAAAACUUCGGAUAAUCUAGAAUGGAUGAAACAAUCAAAUCAGUUGGAUCAUCGAGCGUCCUUUUUUGGAAAAUUAAUGAACGAUAUAUGUAUUGAGACCUUCUAUAAGGAUUAAGAAUUGUAACAGCAACCAUCCCAUGAUGUUGAUGAUGGAUCAACACAUGACUUUCGAAAUAAAAUAUUUAUAUAUGCUUCGAUCUAUAUACGAUAAUUUCGUCGAAUAGUAAACCGUAAGUAGAAGGAAGUACCUGAGAUGCUGAGUAAAAAUAGAACGAAGACCUUUAAGAACUAAAACGCAGAACAAAGUUGAAAGAUCGGCAAAAACUCUACACACUAUUACUCUUAUCAAAGGACAAACCACAUUCAUCUAUUCUAGCAAUUAAAUCCCGUUCGGAGAAAGAAGUCUAAUUUUUGUUCAUCCACUGUUCUUCAUGCCAUGGACCGGCGUCAGAUAGUUCGCAGCCACCUGGACAUUGGCAGUUUCCACCGAGUUUAGCAGGAAGAUUAUCA